GGAAAGAAAGAGCGCCAGUCGGAGGCCAUUUAGCACAGGCGAGCGGUGCCAUGGGGCUGAUUCACCACCUGCCUGAUGCAAGGACUACAGACCCACUCCAGAAACUGUUUCUGACAUAAAAUGGGAUGGCUCGAAAUUUCAGAAGGUGUGGUAGCAGCUGGAGGACAGUCAUCAGAAAGAGUGCAUUGAACUAAAAGAAACACAGGUGGUGUGAAAUGAAGGGCAGAGCAGGACCAGAGCCCAUCCCUGACUUAUGCCGGGCUUCCUCUCAGCACCCGCCACCCCGACACGGUCUGCCAGCCAGCACUAGUUACCUUCUUCCUCAGCCUUAGUCAUUAAAGACAAUGAAUAUCAUCUUAUAUAACAAGUGCUAAAUUAUGAAACUAUUUUAAGGUUUGGAGAAAAUGAAUUAAACCCCUUACAGUUUAUAAAGGAUGCGCAUGAUUUUCCUUAAAAAAUGUUGAUUGUAUUGUCAUGUGCAGAUUUCAGGAAAAUGCAAAUAAAAAUCAAAAUUCAAAGAAACAGCAACUGUCUAAAUAAAACGUAAUUUUUCCACCCUGCAAUAUGUGGUGACAUAGUAUUUUGAAUGUUUAAUGUAGAGUUCUUUUGUUCAGCAGGAGAGAUGUACACUGUCUUUUAAGAGAAAACGAAUCAGAUCUUGGCAAAAUCCCAUUUUUUGUUAAAGAGAGCUGGUAUGUGUGGAGUUUCUGCACCCUCGGAAUGCACGGGG